CGUCACAAGGCAUGACGGACAAGCGCUCCUUUACACCGUGACAUGACAGUAGAGUGGGCAGCGCAUCGGAGGAUUUGAAGGGAGACUUUUAGCAGUGAGGGACAGCCCCAUCACCUUCUCCUUCUCUAUGCGCAUGAGUCAGGAUUGCGUUGACACAGCAUACACUAAGACUAGCGUAUCGACAGACUCGACGCUCGGCUGUUGACCAUUGGAGUCCAUGGCACUCUGAGGAAGGCUGGAUCCGGCCAAAAAGCUUUUAAAGGACUUUUUGCUCUGAAAUUGUUUAAAACCCUUCAGCCAUUUGUACAGUCUGCAGGGCAGGACACCUCCAGGAAUAUUCUUAUACUCACCAAGUGACUGGGCAAGCAAAUAUUGAAAAAUUAAUUUUUUGGAGGUUCACCAAUGGAUAAGACUAAACCAAAUGACCCUGUCCAUGGGGACUUUAGGUACAGAUCAUAAAUCAACAUCAGAGAGAUUUGUAGCUCCAACCAACUGAGAGGUCAUUCAUUAUGAGCCGACAGGACGUGACUACAUACUCCACUAAUCCAUCUCCACUGUUUCUGCCUUCAUCACAGGGGCCCCUCAGAGCAAAUCCCCCUGUAGCAGAAUGGGCCUUAAUGCAGAUGUGG